UACGUAGGGACCAAGCGUUGUUCGGAUUUACUGGGCGUAAAGGGCGCGUAGGCGGCAUGACAAGUCACUUGUGAAAUCUCCGGGCUUAACUCGGAACGGUCAAGUGAUACUGUCGCGCUAGAGUGCGGAAGGGGCAAUCAGAAUUCUUGGUGUAGCGGUGAAAUGCGUAGAUAUCGGGAGGAACACCGUUGGCGAAGGCGACUUUCUGGGCUGCUACUGACGCUGAGGCGCGAAAGUCAGGGGAGCGAACAGG
rnacentral:rRNA from 1 species